CUACGAUUUACUUCUGGGAUCUGUUGCCGCGUUUUAUGUGCUCAUGGUGCCCUACACUAAAGUUGAAGAAAGCUUCAACAUUCAGGCUAUGCAUGAUAUUCUUUAUCAUCGGCAUCGUUUAGAUAACUAUGAUCAUUUGGAGUUUCCAGGUGUUGUUCCUCGCACUUUUAUCGGGGCAUUGCUUGUGUCAAUUUUUGCAUCUCCAAUUGUAUUAGCAGUGCAACUGCUGAAGUUGCCAAAGAUUUAUAGUCUUAUAAUUGGUUAGUCAUCUGAAUACUCUUAGCUGAUAGAUCUUUGUUUGUUAAUUCU